AAACUUUCAACAACGGAUCUCUUGGUUCUCGCAUCGAUGAAGAACGCAGCGAAAUGCGAUACGUAAUGUGAAUUGCAGAAUUCCGUGAAUCAUCGAAUCUUUGAACGCACAUUGCGCCCCCUGGUAUUCCGGGGGGCAUGCCUGUUUGAGCGUCAUUU
rnacentral:rRNA from 2 species